UACGAAGGGGGCUAGCGUUGCUCGGAAUCACUGGGCGUAAAGCGCACGUAGGCGGCUUGUUAAGUCAGGGGUGAAAUCCUGGAGCUCAACUCCAGAACUGCCUUUGAUACUGGCGAUCUCGAGUCCGGGAGAGGUGAGUGGAACUGCGAGUGUAGAGGUGAAAUUCGUAGAUAUUCGCAAGAACACCAGUGGCGAAGGCGGCUCACUGGCCCGGGACUGACGCUGAGGUGCGAAAGCGUGGGGAGCAAACAGG
rnacentral:rRNA from 1 species